rnacentral:tRNA from 1 species
CGUUUUAGAAACAUUCAGGGGCCAACAGUUUCAGGAUUGUUGAGCUCCAUUGGCGGGAUUUCGCCGUCUUCGUUUCUCUUUCUUCGCGGACGAACACGCGCCAGGGCUGAGCGCUGUGCGAUGCACCGACUUCAGGUCGAGUGCGCGCCGGCAUGUCUCUCGUGUUAGGGGCUUGUAGCUCAGUUGGUUAGAGCGCGCGCUUGAUAAGCGUGAGGUCGGAAGUUCAAGUCUUCCCAGGCCCACCAUUUUGAUCGAGUGCGGAGCAUUCGUCUUCUGGUACGGGGCCAUAGCUCAGCUGGGAGAGCGCGUGCUUUGCAAGCAUGAGGUCGUCGGUUCGAUCCCGUCUGGCUCCACCAGAUGGAAUUGAAGCUCGAGAAUGCGCCUUUGCAGGAAUCUCUGUUCAUAUCGUCCGCGAAACAUCACUUCGCACUCAUUGGUCCGGAUGGACGGUGACGUGCGUGUUUUCUGACAUCGUAAAGAGGAGAUCGAUCCGAGUUUGGGUCAAGCGAAGCAAUUCGCCUGAGCCAUUCAUUAUCUCCGGGAUCAUUUCGGCGCUCGCUUUCAAUCGCAAGAUUGGAUGCGGGUUGUAAAUGAUCUCUUUUAGCGAAGCUUGACCGCCUCGCUAUCGGGCCGAUCUUACGAAGCAAGCUGGUCUUUCUAGUCAAUGUCCGGCUGCGCAAUCGCAUUCAUCGAGGAUGCGUGCCUGAGACUUCGGUCUUCGGGCGGUUGUGCAGACAACAUUCUGCCGAGUGUGUGGACAUUGAUAAUGAGAGCAAUCAAGUGCCUUAAGGGUGUUCGGUG